rnacentral:lncRNA from 1 species
AUGGGACCUCUGAUGAGCAGAACUGCGCUGAGAGGACAUGUCAGCCAGAGCACACCAAAUGCCAGACCACCAACAUCUGCAUCCCGCGCUCGUACCUGUGUGAUGGAGAUAAUGAUUGCGGUGACAACAGUGACGAGAGCCCAACCCAUUGUGCCACAUCUACUUGUUCCCAGAACGAGUUUCGCUGCUCGAGCGGACGCUGUAUUCCCGGACACUGGUACUGUGAUGGCGGUACAGACUGCAGUGAUGGUUCGGAUGAGCCCGUUACCUGUAGUAAGUACCACACAUAACAUAUUAACAAUAAAUAUAUACCACUAUAAGUUAUCUGGCACUUAUUCUGUAUAUGUGACAAAGUUAUUUUGGACUAUACUAGGGAGAAAACUAUAAAAACACUGUAAUAUGAGGAUGAAGCUGUGUUUUUCAAGGGAAACCGUUGCCCAUGUUUUUGGGUGGUGAGUUAAUGAUGGGUUACCAUGGUGAUGUCCCCCCCCAUUUUACGCUCCACUGGUAUUGCAUGCAGUCAAAAAGUGGAAAGAUGAAGCAGAUGUUGUGUAUAAGAAACUGGUUCAUUUGGCAGAAAAAGACUUACAAUGCAGAAAUUCAGACCAGUAUGUCAAAUGCCAUGACAAAAGAACAAAGGUUUGAGAGCUUCUUUAAAAAAAAAGACAUUUAGCAGUUCUAUUUGUGAAUAGUGUGUACAGUAUGUGUAUAUGUAUGUAAAUCACCAAACAAAUAAGUUUGAUUUAUGAUGUUUAGAUUCUUACAUCAAUAAGGGGUUUUGAUUUGUUUUUGGGUUUUUUUGUUUUUGCAUUCAUUUAUUUAAUAUAUACUUAAAUCAGAAAGAACAAUUGAUGUUCCCCAAAAGUUUUCUUAUUAUAUU